rnacentral:lncRNA from 1 species
UUUUUUUUUUCCAUUCUUAUGGCAUGCGGAAUUUCCUAGGCUAGGGAUUGAACCUGAACAGCUGUAACCAGGGCCACAGCUGUAACCAGGGCCACAACAGUGAAAAUACCAGAUCCUUAACCUGCAGAGCCUGAGGGAACUCCAAACUCCAUGGUUUUUGUCCUUCCCUUUAAAGGUCUGUGGCAGAGGCUCUUGGUGGCACCUGGUUUCCUUCACUGGGGUGCCUCUUUCCUGGUGGCUGAGUGUUGUUGCUAAGGGUUCACAGCUGCUUCCUUCACAGGGCAUUACCCACACCCAGGCACAUACUUCCUUAUUCAAGAAGUCACAAGCCUAUGCUAUCAGCAGAAACUGGUAUCUGGCAGGGGGUAGGGUCAAAUUGAGCCCUUUCAUCUCCAGGGGGACCAACUCUGUGUUCUUCAUGUUCCAGAGAGAGGUCCCUUGAGGACCAGGAUAAGGUUCUGUUUCUUCCCCUGCCUUAUCCUAUUUUCCUCAGUCCCCAGUUCAUGAGCACAUUUUCAAGGAUUUUCCCAAGUGUCCCCAUCUAAGAUUCACUUCUGGUGAUCUUGCUCUAAUGCACUGGGUACGAGAAGAGUCCUAAGAAACACAUGCAAUUCUAGAAAUGGAUCACCUUUUAGCACACAAGCAAGGAUGACUCCAUGGGUAUGUUGUAUGGAGUAUUCCUAAUCUCUGGUGUGCUUCAGCAGUAACUGUCCAUGAAGUGCAGACACUGGCCAGGUCAUCCUUUAGUCCUGGGUAAUAAUAACUAAGAGGAUAGUAACUAAGGACAAUGGCCUUAUGCCUUUGUAGAUUCAUGCCAAUGCUCUAAUGAGGGAAGAUAAUAAAGCCUAAUAUCCCUUACAGGGGAAUUCACAGUGUCUCUCUGGGAGUAUGGAGGACACUUUCCUCCCAAAUUAGCCUCUCCGUGAGUCAGGAGAUAGAUGGGAUCGAGCAUAAACAUUUCCUAUCAGCCACCUAUUUAUACCUGAAGAUAAAAAUGCAAGAACAAUUAAAGAAGUGGGAUUGGACUUUUUGGACACUUAAAGCAAUGAACACGUCAUGGGCAUUUAGGGCCUAAGCCCUGAUUGGGUCAAAGUUAAAGAGGUCACACACUUCCUAUCCUUAGGGCGAAGGAGAACCAACUUCACAUGCACAGAAAGACUCCUCUGGGUCAGAAAGGGAGGGGUCACCAGACCAUAAAAACUUAAGCUAUGUUAGUGCCAGUGGGGAACCCCUCUUGGCCAAAAGAUGUGCACACAUAUUGGGGAGGGCCUGGGUCUGAUCAGGUGUGAAAAUGAAACAAGAACUUUGGCCAAUGGAAAAAAAAGACCCAGACAAACUGCCCUAAGUGUUUUAAAUCACUUCUCUGGGGCAAUCCUCAAUGACGGGGAUGAUUGCAUUCUCACUCCUCCUUUGUGUGUAUCCUACUGCUUUGCCUCUGCCUUAGACAAACAGACAACAUAGCUAAGUGUACUGUGUUUCUAACAAUAAACUCUGUACCUGUUUUCACAGACUUUGCUUGUUUUAAAUAUUCUUUCUUUCAACAGGGGGUGAGAAUCAAAGCAAUUAGUUGGUAGUCCCCAGCUGGUCGAGUGGCUAAUAUUCCUAUUUCAUCCAGGCUUCCCAGCUUCAAUUCCUGAGCAGAGAAUUAAGAUCUCACUUCAGGCCAUCACUCUCUGCUAUUUCUCCAAAAUCAUCAGCAUCCUCAUCCAUCCAGGCCAGAUGUGACCUGAGUUAAACUCAUGUGCAGGAUUCCUGUUUGUACUUAUGGUACAUCCCACAUGUGAAGAUCAUCAACGUUUUUCUAAACCCUUUGAAGCUGGUUAACCCUGUGCAUCUAUCAGCUGGUCUCUAUGAUCUUUCCCUUCUUCCCUUGAGUCAAUUGCCAUGGGGCAAUUCUGAAAAAUCCCAGCUAUUUGCUUAAGAGUGGCUGGGCAGCCUCCUCCUAGGUGCUGUAAAUAUGGUUCCACCCUGAAACCUUUUCACUUUGGGUUAUAUGAAGUGGUUUAGGUUAAGUUUGGAAAGCAUGGAAACUGCAGCCAGAUAGGCAGGCUUCAAAUCCUGGCUCAUUUAACUAUGGCUUAAGGGAAAGUUACUUACCUUCUCUGCAACUCUGUUUACAGAACUUUAAAUGGAGUAAGAGUGUUUCUGCAAUGGCAUCCAUCUCUAAGGGCUGUUGUGAGGAUAAAUAUGUUAAUAAAGGUAAAGUGCUUUGAAUAGUGUCCAGCCAGCGGGAAGUGUCACAUAAUGUUAGCUGUUAUUAUUGCAAGUCAUUACUAUUGAGUCAAUACAGAUUGCAAUCUUCAGUUAGAGAAUGUUCUUUUGAUAAAGCUAUGUUUCAUUCAUCCAUGUAUUAGGCAGAUUGGUCCCUAAGUCUGAAAUCAUCCUGGACUUUGAAGAUAGCAUAGAAAGUAGGAAAAUAUUACAAAGCUAUACUAAAAUUCUAGAUCCUUUCCUACAUUUCUCUUUAUCCUAUAGUUUAUGUCCUAACAUAAGUAGGUAUCUGUUCAAUCACACAUUUAUAACCUUGUAUUAAAGAGCUCUAAUUUUCUUUCUUCUUUUCUCUCUUUCUUUUUUCCCUUUCUUAGGACUGUACACAUGGCAUAUGGAAAUUCCCAGACUAGGGGUUUGUUCACUUCCACUGUGCCACAGUGGGAACUCCUAGAUCCCUAAUUCUCUUGCCUAGAACAAAUGGAUAUUCUCUCAUUCUUAUCCCAUCCAGACAACUUAAAAUAUGGUCUACACCUUGAAACUCCAUCUCCUGGUGGGCCAUUCUUUAUCAAGAAUAUAAGCAAUAUAACACCAUGCACAAAAACAGAAUCAAAAUGGAUUAAACACCAAAAUGUAAGGCCAGAAACUGUAAAAAUCUUGGAGGAAAACAGGCAGAUCACUCUUUGAUAAGUAUGGCAGCAAACCCUUUUUGAUGCACCCUCUAGAAUAAUGAAAAUUAAAACAAAAAUAAAGAAAUUUGGAAUUAC